rnacentral:sRNA from 1 species
AGUUAGCAAGUACACGCGUUAGGGAUUGAAACGGCAUCCUUUUUAAUUGAUUAAAAUUAAAAAGAUAUAGUGAAAAGCCCGACUUGGU